rnacentral:lncRNA from 1 species
UGAGUAAGCAAGCAAAGUUUGGAAUCAGAAAUAGGGUUCUCAGUUAACAAAGUUCCAGCAAAGUUUGCAGCAUAUAUGGGAGGAGGAGUUUGAGUAAUGGAUUCCCCCAACUUGGUCUGGUGUAAUAGGUUCAUCAACUGGUCAUAAUCAUGUUUGCUCAACCCUGGAAUCACAGAGCUUUGACCAUCUAGGCUUGCAACAGAUUGAUAGUUAGCAGAAGGAUUCCCUUGAGGAACAGAAAACAGUCCAUCAGAAAUAGAAGAAUCCAGACCAGUACUCAGAUGAGCAGCAGCAGGCCUCCUUCCCUUGUUAAAUGUGGGACUUUGUGGAUACCCAU